CUGGAGGGCUAUAGGAAAAGGGCCCCCCAUAGUUAUAUAAAGGAUAGGUAGACAGGAAUUCCUUUUACAUCUUAGGUAAUGCUGAUCGUCUCAUAAGAAACCAUUCUACAAGAACAUUAGGUUACUGCAGUUCAUAAAGACAUGUUGUGGGAGCUGUAAUCAUCUACUGAUAACGAAAAAUAGCUCAUACCAGCAAUCAUACAAUUGGUUCAUAGGGACACCGCCCGUUGAAAACAGAGUACUGAGCAUGCGUAGAACGUGAUACUCUUAUAUAAUAGUAUGUUGCAAUGCGCGUAAUAGUAAGCGCGCACAAACAGUACUUAACUAUAACUAGUGCUGUUCAUGAGGAAAUGGCUACAAGCCAUCCAAUCAUAAUGAAGCUCAUGACUGAGCAUCCCCAGGAUGCAACAAGAUGAUGGGUGGAGUUAUGGGCAUAUAGGCAGAGGAUCUUUCCCAUUUGGUUGGGACUGUUCCACUGCUGACGAGCCGUGUGAUGUGUAUGCGCUGCCUCCUGAUGAAUCGCUGGUCCCCCGAUAUGGAGUGAUGAUGCAAUAUCCGAUGCGGCAACGGCCAUAUCCACUAUAUCCAAGUCAGAGGAUAGAGAGACUGAGUCAUGGCUGGAAGGUACAGCCGUUUGGGCUCACCAAAAAAGUAGACAUCUUGGAGAAAAGGCCACUUACAGAAUCCACUAAGACAUUGUGGCAUCACCCUUGGUCUCCUUGGUAUCGUGUGGUUGGCAUCCUACGCAGACGGUAAUACACCCGGACACAAGCUGAGCCUGGCUGAAUCCAGAAAUUGGACGUGGGGAUGGAGAAACUAUUCUAAAACCAGGAAACAGGACAGUGUUACAUGUGAAGUCAAUUGACUCUGCAUUUGUUCUUUGCAAACCCUACAGCAGCAACAACAGAAAGGGUUGUUCCAAACCAUGUUGUUGACGGGGAAUGAGGAAGUUUGGAGGACCGUGUUUAACUCUUUUGUAAGGGAAAAACACUGGCUGGACAUCAAAGCGCCUAAAAUAAGGUGUAAUGAUACGUCCUGCACCGGUAAAUUGGUCUACUACAAUGUGACUAAAAGUAAUAUAAUGUGCAAGUUUGUAGUAUUACCAAUGUUAAUGGGCCCAGAUGGUAAUCAACAUUUUUGGGUACCUACAUUUUAUGGACAAGUAAUUGAUAGCAAUAAUAGCACACAUGAUUUAACUUUCUGUGAUGACACUCUUGAAGGUAAAAUCUGUAAGUUACAGUCUGCUGUAUAUGAGCCUUGCUUGUUACAGAACACUGUAAAUAAAUGCGAGUGGACCAUAAUGCCUACGUCAUACCGAUGGAUGGUUGAAGUAGCACCCCAGGUGAUAUGCGUAGUGACAGAUCGUCAGGUGGUCCCUAAAAUGAGGGUGCCUUUUGCAGGAUGCAUACACAACAUCACGGUUAUUCAAUGGGAAAAUGAAACUUUUAUGUUAAAUUCAGAUAAUGAGCUAAGCACCAAGGUGUUAUGGCAAGACACGGCUUUAGAAGUCCCUAAUUGGGAUCUAAAUUUGACUAGACUGAAAGCUUUGCUGGACAAAUUGAUAGAAGUCCAUGCAGCAAUUAAGAAUUUGAACAGGAGUAUCACGGGACACAAGCUCUUUACUACGGUAGUGUCUGAUAAAAUUGUAAAAGUAGGAUCCGCCAUAGCGGACGCUACAUCCCAUCAUUGGUGGGACAUAUUCAUGGGGUAUUCCUCAUCAGCCAGGACUACCAUGGAUUGGGUGGUUCACCCCUUGUUGGUAGUCAUGAUAGUAGUAAUUGUACUAUCUAUUUGGAAUUGUUAUGUAGCCUACGGUAUAUGUUGUAAAAAACGAAAAAUGAUAAUGGUUUCCUAUACCAACGGUCAGCAUUAAGGACCGAAUGUGAUGUAAAUCUGAUACGAAUGUGUGCAUGACUGGAGGGCUAUAGGAAAAGGGCCCCCCAUAGUUAUAUAAAGGAUAGGUAGACAGGAAUUCCUUUUACAUCUUAGGUAAUGCUGAUCGUCUCAUAAGAAACCAUUCUACAAGAACAUUAGGUUACUGCAGUUCAUAAAGACAUGUUGUGGGAGCUGUAAUCAUCUACUGAUAACGAAAAAUAGCUCAUACCAGCAAUCAUACAAUUGGUUCAUAGGGACACCGCCCGUUGAAAACAGAGUACUGAGCAUGCGUAGAACGUGAUACUCUUAUAUAAUAGUAUGUUGCAAUGCGCGUAAUAGUAAGCGCGCACAAACAAUACUUAACUAUAACUAGUGCUGUUCAUGAGGAAAUGGCUACAAGCCAUCCAAUCAUAAUGAAGCUCAUGACUGAGCAUCCCCAGGAUGCAACAAGAUGAUGGGUGGAGUUAUGGGCAUAUAGGCAGAGGAUCUUUCCCAUUUGGUUGGGACUGUUCCACUGCUGACGAGCCGUGUGAUGUGUAUGCGCUGCCUCCUGAUGAAUCGCUGG